ACGUGCCGACCGAGGCUGCUGCCACCUGGGGCGGCGCCCUCCUGGAGGAAGAGCCUCCGUCUGGAGUCAGCCCUGCUCAGUGGUACCUGAAAUAGGUUGCCUGUGAGGUGUUCACUUUCUAUACGAUGAAUAUUAUACAGUCAACCUCUUUCCGGUAUCGAAUCCCGCCCCGGACGACCUCCGCUUCGGGCGCCGACUCCACGCGGCAGAAGCCUCUGCGCUGGGUGACCCGUGGACUUGGUCUGGGGCUUGUGCCAACUGGCCUGCAAAUUGUCCAGCUGUGUCCAUUCUGGAGGCUUCUGAAAGCACCACGUUGUGGCCUCCAUGCCUCCAAGCUUCCCGGUGGUGACCACAGGCGCUGGGCUAAGGCAUUGGCACCCGGCCCUGCCCAGCCAUGGCAGGAUCACCCGGACAGUGGGAAGGGUCCAGGACCCUCUGAAAGGUGAACUCUGAGGGCGCUUCUCCAGGAUGACCUGCGGUGUGUGGUGUCUGUUACAUGCCUUCCGGACUGCAGGAAGCCCCCCCCUGAGCUGGGCUGGCCUCAUCCUCACGGGCUCAGAUGAGACAACAUCCCCACUUUGGAGGGCUCAGCUCUGUGCACGCCUUUCCCCUGCAGGCUUCCUCCUCGGGCCUGUGGUCUCCUUAGGACCAGUGUGUGGGUGGGGCUGCCCCAGCACCAGGGGGACCAGCAGCGACCCUGCCCUGUGAGUUCCCUCCCUCCAGGCCACCACCCCUUCCCUCUGGCCCUAAGUUAUGCAGAUGCGCCACCUCCUGCUGGCCGGCCCCGCCCCUCCGCGCCAGCCCCUCUGCCACAGCCCUGCGGAGGGAGGAGGGAGGGCCACCCUCUCUGUCCUGGACCACCUUGCGGGCCUCCACUUGGGUCUCCCUUCAUUCCCCCCAACCUCCUGUAUGGAGAACAUUUCAGAGUAGAGCCCAGCUCUCCCUGCCCUGCUCAGAGCCCCUCCAGGCAGCCCCUUCCCUCAUGCUCUGCUCCAAAAGGGUCACUGGUGUCCCAAGGCCCUGGAACCGGCCAACCUCACCCCUUCGUGCUCCCUUCCUUACAGUGUAUCCCUGUUUAUGGCCACCCACCCUCCUGAUGGGUGCUGAGUCCUGGGUGGUGGCCUCUGUGGAGCCUGACCUCACCUCUCCUGUCCAGGACUGCAGACCCCUCCUCAUCACCCCACACCCUGCACGGCCCUUCUAGAACACUCAGCAACGUCCCUGCUCACUGCCCCCUCUGCAAGGGGCUGCCCCCUUUCAAGAACAGGUGUUCAGGAUUCUAGGGGGAUGAAAUGCCCCUUGUUCUGCAAGUCUGUCCCUCUUUUCCCGGCCUAGCACCCCCACCUCUUUCCAGUCACCUGCUCUCAGUCACUCUGCUGCAGUUUUCUUCCUAGCUCAUUGCUAUCCAAAAUGACCUGGUGUUCAUGUCUACUUUCUCUCUCCCUGCUAGACUGUAAGAUUUCCCAGGAAUUUUUUUCUGUCCUGUUUCCUGCUGUGUCCCCAGCCCUGGGACCCAGGCCAGGCCCGUAGUAGAGGAAAGGAUGUCAUUUAAGUGUCUGAGGUUUCCUGAGGUUUGGGAUCCCUCUCUCCCCUUUCCAGUGGGCCCCUGGGGCCCUGAAAGGAGCCGUAAGUCCCAAUAUAACCCCGUAGACACCAGUUCUACAAAAGGGGCCAUUCUACAGUGCUGAGAGCCAGGUGCUCUGGGGAACUGCGACUGCACAGGCUGAAGCCUGGUAUCAAGGUUAAUAUAUUAUGCAUGAAACUGACUGAAUAGGGACAUUUGAAGAUGAAAAUUGCUGUGAAUGCAUCCACACAUCUUUGGAAUAUAUUAAACAUGUGUGUAUGGCAGGGUGGGAGGUGACAUUAGCCUUACUUAAUAGCUCCAGUGUAACCAUCCCCAGGCCACAGAAUUAACGAACGUGGGCCCCCCCAGCCUCCAGGCUGCUGCUGGGGAGAAACGUUGGGUCCAUCAGCCAACAUCUGAGAAUUAUGCAUGAGACAAAAUGCGCACCUGGGGCACCAGGGAUGCCGCAGCAUGCAUGUUCUCAACUCAUUUUAGAUCCAAAGCGGUGACCCCAAAUUGCUCAGUGCAGAAUUUCAUUAAAAGCCAAAUUACUGAUCUAUUGUUUGAAGAGAAGAGAAAAUAAACAAAGGGUCUUUCUCAUCUGACAAGCCGAACAGAAGUGCCUGUCCCUGCAGCAGCCAGGAUGGCCGCAGUCACUGUGCGCCCUUGAUCUGGAGGACACCCUGGACUGGGCACUCAGCAGGUGCCCAGUACACGGAUCCCAUUGGCAGAGCCUUGUUUGAUCCCAACCAUGAGCCCAGGGCUGGCCACAAGCUGCCACAUCGGCCUGCUGCCUGGACGGAUGCCGGCUGUGACUACCCUGCCCCUGGAGGCCCUCGGGUCUGGCACGUGCCCACUGGAAGUUCUACUUGUAGCUUCGUGGUCGGGCCUGGAGUAGAGGUAGGAUUUACCCAGGGCACAUGGGGCCUCGGGGAGACCCAAGCUCCUUGUCAGGGUCGGUCUCAGGCCAGAAUCCAUGCCGCCUCACUCAGUGCGGCUCACACAGUGUUCACUGAGCGAAUGAAUGGACAGGGCCCCCUGGCUGCUGCCCAGAACUCCCUCCACCACCACAGUCUCACUCCAAGGGGAGGCCAGCCCCACUCCAUCCACCUGUGGAGAAGGGAGACGGCCCCACAGGGGCAGGAGGCUUGAGCAGGCGGGGCUCUUGACGGCGGGCCUUGGUCUUCCCGGGGCAAGACGCUGCUGAGACGGUGCUCAGAGCCUGGAUGCGGAAACCGUCCAGAAGGCUGCUUCCCUCCAUCUGUGAUAUCUUCGUUUUCUCUAACACUCAAAAAUAGAUGUUUCUGUUAUGCUCUUUCCUUGGCAGGGGAGCGGCUGGGCCUGCCAAGGCCUGGGGGAGCCCGCCAGCCUGCUGAGUCUCACUGUGCAAACAGUCGGGGAGGAGGGGCAUCUCUGCUAACUUGAAAUCCCCGAUCAGUAAACAUGCCAAUUUAAAGUGUAAUUAACUCAGGCCGGAAAAAAUUCAGAUUUGGACUGCUUUUCACAGUUGAGGUUGUUUUUCUUUUAUUUAUUUAUCUCUUUCCGGGUGUGGUGGUGUCUGUGGCAGGUUUAAGCCAGGAAAAAUAGGAGGGGGGCUUGAGUGGGGAGGGGGCUGGUUGGGUGAGGAAAUGGUGGAAAGGAAAGAGGCAGAGAGCAAGGACCGGCCGGACAGCCCGCCGCCUGGCCUCUGUGCCCUUCCUGUUGGGUAUGGCGGGGAAACUGAGGCAGAGGGAAGGAGGGGGCACGCCAUGUCACUCUGAGGGUGGGGCGCAGACCCCUGUGCCAGCUGGCUGUGAUUUGAAAUUGUGGGGUGCUGUCGAGGACCCCAGGAAAGCACUUGGCAUGAACGGGCUCUGGGGCCCCGCUCCCCCCACCCUCCUGUCUCACCUCCCUCCCAGUGGCCGCCUGCUGUUCCGAGGGCCCCGCACUCUCUGACACUCCUUUGCUCUGCUGGUCCCCUCUUCUGCUCCCGGGACUCCCGAGUGGUCCCCGCUCUGGGCGAAGGCCGCGGACGCCCAGGCCCCCGCAGGCGACGCCCCGCGCCUUGCCAGCUCAGCACCUCUCCCACCUGUCUGAAGGGCCCGGAGCACCAGGCGGAUCCCUUGGCGGGACCGAGUUGGACCGCGUGGGCGGGGGGGCAGCCAUGAGGGCACACAAGCUCAAAUGCAGGAGCAGAUGAGCCGUCCCGCUCCCGCUGGGACGCCCGGGGCUUAGCCUGGUUACAAGGACCCAGAAACUCCUGCUCUUCCUGUUGAAAUACUUUGAAUGUUGUUAGCCAUUUGAGUAAUAAAUACACAUU